rnacentral:rRNA from 1 species
GACGAACGCUGGCGGCGUGCCUAAUACAUGCAAGUAGAACGCUGAAGAGGGGAGUUUUCUCUUUUUGGGUGUUUUGCGAGCGGGUGAAUCACGCGUAGAACACCCCCUUUGUAGCGGGGGAAAACUAGGGAAAGAGAUAUAUAAUACCACAUCACUAUAGAACACACAUGAUUUAUAUUUAAAAGGGACUUUUGCCACACUACAAGAUGGACCUGCGUUGUAUUAGCUAGUAGGUGAGGUAAUGGCUCACCUAGGCGACGAUACAUAGCCGACCUGAGAGGGUGAUCGGCCACACUGGGACUGAGACACGGCCCAGACUCCUACGGGAGGCAGCAGUAGGGAAUCUUCGGCAAUGGGGGCAACCCUGACCGAGCAACGCCGCGUGAGUGAAGAAGGUUUUCGGAUCGUAAAGCUCUGUUGUAAGUCAAGAACGGGUGUGAGAGUGGAAAGUUCACACUGUGACGGUAGCUUACCAGAAAGGGACGGCUAACUACGU